ensembl:lncRNA LINC00662 long intergenic non-protein coding RNA 662
ACUGCGGUUCCGCCGUGCCAAGGGGAGCUUGGCUGUUCACGGGCCUCACCUGCUAGCGAGAAGAUAGCUUGGCCGGGCGGCUGAUCUCACCUUGUAAUUCUGACACUGUGUCUCCCGGGCUUGUCGGCUUCAUGACUUGUGCCCAAAGUUUGAUUUCUCGCAGACCAGGAGGACCCAUUGGACCCCCGGGCUGGCUGCAGGGCCCACACCUGGGUUAGACCUCGCACAGGGACGCUGCUGCCACUGUAAUAAAGCGUGCCUACACGCUUCUGAAACUGGUGUAGGAACAACCUCAGUUCUGUGAAAGGCGGACGCAGCAGGACAGAAUCUCCGUGGACAUCUGUCUGGAGGAGCAAUUUUACUGCGACAUUUUAAAGAAACAAAUUUAAUUGAUUUCCAAGGGUGUCCAUCGCGCUUCCUUCACUGCCUUGAUCAUGUCGGGGUCACCACCUGCGGGGGUUUGUCCUGCAGACCCUGACUCAACGACGGAUGAAUAAUGUACACUGACACAGAUCUUAUGCUUGUCAGUCCUGCUGAGCAUCCAGGCCACUUACAGACUCCAAGAAGAGUCCUGUCAGCCACGGCUCUGACUUGUUGGCCCUCCCGGCAUUUAUUUAGCACACAUUUAAUGACAGAAGUCUCAGGCUGGAAACACUCUUUUUGUAGAACAUACAAAUGGACAUUUCUAAGCACAUUGAGGCCUAUAAUGAAAAAUCAAAUAUCCCACAAUGAAAACUAGAAGGAAGCUAUCUGUGAUAAUGCUUUGUGGUGUAUGGAUUCAUCUCACUGACUGAAACCUGAGUUUUGAUUCACCAGGUUGCAAACACUCUUUUUGCAGAAUCUAUGAAGGAACAUUUCUGAACCAAUUUUGGCCUAUAGUGGAAAACUGAACAUUCUGUGAUAUAAACUAGAGAAAAGAUAUCUGUGAAAAUGCUUUGCAAUGUGUGGAUUCAUCUCACUGGAUGGAACCUAUGCUUUGAUUUAGUAGGUUGGAAAUACUCAUUUUGUAGAAUCUACAAAGGAUAUUUCUGAGCCCCUUUGAGCCUGUAGUGAAAAAUCAAGGAUCCCAUGAAGAAAAACAGAAAAACACUAUCUGUCAAAAUGCUUAUUGGUGUGUGGAUUCUUCUUACCAAAUGGAACCUGUGUUUUGAUUCACCAGGUUGGAAACACUUUUUUGUAGAGUCUAUGAAGGGACAUUUCUCAGCCCAUUGAGGCCUAUAGUGAUGAACAAAAUAUCCCAUAAUAGAAGCUAGAAAAAAGCUAUUUCCAAAAAUGCUUUGCAAUGUGUGGAUUUAUCUUACAGAAUUAAACCUUUAUUUUGAUUUGACAGUCUGCAAACACUUUUUUUUGUAGAAAGUACAGAGGGACAUUUCUGAGACCAUCAAGAACUAUAGUAAAAAAAUCAAACAA